rnacentral:misc_RNA from 1 species
GAUGAAGAACGUAGCGAAAUGCGAUAAGUAGUGUGAAUUGCAGAAUUCAGUGAAUCAUCGAAUCUUUGAACGCACAUUACGCCCCUUGGUAUCCCGAGGGGCAUGCCUGUUCGAGCGUCAUUUCACCACUCAAGCCUGGCUUGGUGUUGGGCGACGUCCUCUUUGGGGACGCGCCUCGAAACGCUCGGCGGCGUGGCACCGGCUUUAAGCGUAGCAGAAUCUUUCGCUUUGGAAGUCGGGGCCCCGUCUGCCGGAAGACCUGCUCGCAAGGUUGACCUCGGAUCAGGCAGGGAUACCCGCUGAACUUAAGCAUAUCAAUAAGCGGAGGA